UGCCGCCUGGGCGCCGCCGAUAAGGGCGGUCGGCGGGGCCGCCGCGGCCGGUGGGAGCGGGGCUCCGGGGAGGAGGGCGCCGCGGCCGGCCCCGGGGCUGGCGCCUGUGCCCACAUUCCCGUGUUGACCGAAAGCCUGUCCCUCCAGGCAGUUACUGCUGCGAGUGUGUGUUUUUCCUUUAGGAGUAUGACAUCAAGCUCUGUGUUUAUUUGGCUAAAUACCUGAGAAACUGCUAAGAGAUAAAGCGCAGUUCCUGUUUUCCCCGCUCGCUGCCAAGGGAUACUUUUGCGCGGUGAAUCUAAAUGAUAAACUGGAAAUUGAAGCUCCMGUCUGAGAAAACUCCAAGUCACACGAAUGAGUGAAUUGCCGAAGGGAUUUAGUUUCUGCUAAUGCAAGGAUGAUUUACCAGCUUCAGUGAGCCAUGCAAGAGCUGACAUACAGAAGACAAGAUGAAAGCAAGCCUUAAUAAUCUGUGCAUUCUGCUAGACAUGACCCAGGUUUUGUAUAAUUUUCAGCAUGCUUUCCUUAUGUUCUGUGGAUUAGACCCAAGGCUUCCAGGACACAAUUUGCAAAAGAGCUGA
rnacentral:lncRNA from 1 species